AUGGGAUUGGCAGCAGAAUUCAAUGGCGCUAAACUUUGUAUGAAAGUCGCUACUGCGAUGUUCGUCUGUGUUUUCGGCACGUGUCCAUAAACUUGAAGGAGAUCGAAGAUUAUGUAUGGACUCCAGCAAAGGAUGAAUACUGCAAUAAUUAGAAAGAUGAUGGGAAUGCUGAAAAGUGCCGAGAGGCUCCAUGCAACCACCACCAAUACUCGAGCUCUCCACCCUGCAUAAAAUUCUUCACCUUACAAGUGUUUACCAACUGGUAUUAUCACCGAUAAUAUUUUUGUUACGAAGAACACCAAGAUAAUAUCUCGACGUCUUAGGAGUCUAGAAGGGAUUGUCAUCCAACGAUUUUCAAUCAUGGACAUUGGAUUUUUGUUCUAAUUAAAUCUGUAUGCACGUAAGUAGAUACGUAUAACGAAAAGGUUCGAAUUUUUCGCGUUUAUCGCGUGGUCUAAAUCGAGCAUUUCCCUAAAGCACUCUUCCAAGUUUAUCCUCGUUUUACAUGGACGAUACAUCAUGCUUUCUGCUAUAGACAUCAUCGAAAUACAUAGGAGAAAGACCUUACGGUCAAGACAAAAAUUGACUGCAUCAGCUGAUGUUAUCUUUUCAACUUUUGCUUAAAUAUUUAUUACACGUUGAUGGUUUCCAUUCUUUCGUAUAAAUAAUAUUCAAUCUUCUGUUUCUAACGGGACAUUACUGUCGUAUUAAAAAUCGAAGAAGUUUAUCAAAAAAGAGGAAUUUUAUCGAAUAGAACGUAGCAAUCAAGCAAAUUGCUUCAGUCGUUUUACAGAAAAAGAAAAAGCAGAAAAGAUAUCAGCUCUGGCGGAGUUCGAAAACAAUUCCAUUUGUGGGAAAUCGCAUCGACGUUAACUUUGUUACUAUAGGAAUCAUUCUAAUUAACUCUGCUAACGGUGAGUUAGACCUAUAAUUAUUUUGCGAGAAAAAUCGCGUUAUCUCUUCGUUAUUUUUGCAUCGAGUUAACUAAAUGAGAAGGUUAACGAGAGAAAAACGAUCAAAAGCGAUGGAAAUCUUUCUCGUUCAUUAAAGAUGCGUUGGUAAGUUUGUAGAACCUUCAUUUAAUGUAUUUAACAUUGUAUUUUUGUCGUACUCGAGAAAGUGGUCUCUUUUUACCCGAUGAAAAAUGUAUCUUUCUCUCUCGUUAUUCUAUCUUUUUUAUCUUUUUUAUUUUCUCUUUUUUCUAUUUUUCUUCUCUCGAGGAUUUACUUACGCGAGAUAUAAUAUCAGGGUGAAAUGAGGCGAGAAUAGAGAAGGCAAGGAACAAAAUGUAUAGGGUGUUUUGACAAAAAAUUAUUUCACUCAAACUUUUUCUGAUCAACAGAAUAUUUUUAUCAUCGUAUAAACAGACGAAUUAGACGAUAUGAAUUAGUUGAUUUUCAGAGAAACCAGAAAGAGUUACGUUUGAGAAAAAUGACAAAGUUUAAAAUGUAAAACAUACACAUAUACGCAAAUCUUUGAAAAUCGGCUUCGUGGUUGGAAACAAUUUCUCGGUCGACAGUAAAUAUAAAGUCUGAAAAGAGGAAAGCUUGCGACUGACUGGCGACCUUUAAAUUACAGCUUUUUCUUCUUCUUCCUCCGUGUCUGCCUCUUCAUCCAGCUCACCACUCUUUGGUGACUUUUCUCUCGAGAAUAACGUGAAAUGUGUGUACGCGUUUGCUACCUCGGCUUUUUCGAAUACAACUUCAAAAUGUACGGAGAGAGAAAGAGAGAGAGAAAGAGGAAACAAGAGCUUCUUCUACUUAUUCGAAGUAACUCUGUAUUUUAUAAGUCAUAAAAAUCUUACUUAUAGGAGAAAGAGAAAGGGAAAGAGAGAGAGAGAGAGAGAGAGAGAGAAAGAAUGCAAGGUGUUACCAAUCCAACAAUUUACUUCUCUUCUCGAGCUUUAUCGUUCUCUUUCUCUGUGUACAAUGGUCGACACCGCAACUCACGAUUAUUUUUAUAUAUUGCAGAUACGAAAGGAUCUUCUCGACACUUUUUCUAUGUUAUCAUAUAUAUAUAUAUGGGCGUGUGUGAGAAUACAUUUAUAUAUUUCUUUCCAAGUUACUUGCAGUAAAUUCGAAAAGAUUGCUUCGUUCUUCAUUUACGAAUAUUAAAAGAGAUUUCGGAAACACCAUAAAGGUCACGUUCAUCGAAUAUUCCUGGCUGAAUCCCUCUCUCAUGAUUUUUUCUUGUCAGAAAUAUUUAUUUUCUAUGCGGCAUUAUGAUUUCUCGUGGUUCACGGAAGGAUAGUACGAGGAAACGAUUUCGAGAAUAUCGUCGAGCAGUGCGUCUCUCAAAGUAACCUGCGAACGCCAGUUGCUUGAUGAAGAAGUCCAUCCGAGAUUUUCGACGUUUUCCCAGCAAGAGACCAGCGAGAACUGCAGUGUUACCAGCAACGAUCACAACGAAUAGCAACCACAAAACUGUGAAUUGUUCGGUCUGCAAAAAAGAAAAAUCAUUGUAUACAAACAUGGUUUCCAUCAAAGUUUUAAGUUGUACGAGGAAUAUUUUCAACGUUUGAUAACGAGCCUACGAGAGUACAUGUGAAUCACGUUUCGUGGAAAGAACAUUUAAAACGAAACGUGUACGAGGAUUGAUGAUGAUGACGGUGGUGAGGGUAAUCUAGCGGUCUUUUCUGCUCUACGUCAUCGUCGAAGGGCGAAGGUGAAGAAGGGGAUCGAGAGGGAUCGUAAAACAUCCUAUUUACGUCCUCGAACGCAGAUUACACCCCUCGGGAGUACAGGACUAGCCCGUAGCAACAGUAUUUUCUUCCAAACGUUGAAUUAUCUAGCUAUCGUACGACAAAAUAUCGUCGAAUCGUCGAAUCGUCGAAUCUCCGCCCGAAUAUAGACCGGCCUACUUUCUUGUGAAACUAUAGGAAUAGAACUGAUCUUUUUCUAUGCUUUUAUAGAGUAAACGGUAUUGCAUACAGUCGAUUACCAUUGCUGAAUUUUAUUCAGUGGUCAUGAUCAAUAAGUAGCAGUAUGAUAAAAUCUUUAAAGAGAUUAUUCGAAGGAAGAAAUAGGAUUGAGGGAACGAAGGAAGAGUAAAAAGGUAAUUCCAGAGAGAACGUUACAAAGUAACGAAUCAAAGUGCAUCGAUUAUUUAUGCUCGUCAAUCGAUUCCAAAGGAGGAAACGUUGAAAACGACCAAAGGUGUAAAUCGUCGUAUUGCCACGCAGAGAAACUCGUUGAAAUUUCGAGCAACUAGAAACUCGAUCUUAACGCGGCAGGAUUCUUGCUAGAGCGAGCAUAGAAACUGAAGAUAGGAAGUCUACAAUGAUAGACAAAUGGGAUCGUAAAGUUAAUAAGUAAUAGUUGAUAGUAAUAGUAAAGGUUUCAAUGAAAAUUACAUUUAAAUCGUGAUACUGUCUCGGCGAACAAGACUCGACGUUCACGUGCAACGCAUUAGAACGCAUUAUUGUUGAAAAAUACUCUGGAAGGUGGGCGCGCACGACGCCCGGAUUAAUACUUUUCUGUAAUUACUUUUCCUUUCGUUCGUCCUGGAACGUAGAAUAAAAAGGAAAAAAGAAAGCAAGCAAGAAAGGAAAAUGUCUUUAAAGGAAUAAAAUCACAUUAUUGAUAUUUCUUUCGCCUCGUAAAACGUCAGGUCUUCGUGUCUUUUUUUUUCUCCUUUUUUUUCUUUUUCUUUUUUCCUUUUUACCAAAUGGGACAUGAUUUACCAUAAGUAACCAAUUACGAUCUCUGGGAACGUGCUUUUUCACAAUAAUGUAAUUCUAAAUUCGUUAUAUACUUAAUUGCGAAUCAAAUGUCCAUUUCUUUCUUUCUCGAGCGCAAUUAUGUUUUUUCUUUUGAGUAGACAAAAAAUAAGAAAGAGAAAGCAUGAUCGAGAAUUAUUAUUUGCUGGUAUAAUCUUGAAACUGGACGACCUGAGAGAUCGAAAGUUAGCGCUCGUUUAAUUACCAACUUUAUAGGAAUUAUAGGAUGAUUAACGUCUCAUAAUUAUCGUGUCACUGAUUUUUGCUGACAAAAAUCUUAUUUGAAAUAUUUCUUUUCUUUUGAUACAGAAAACGAUGAUUUUAAUCUCAUACUUUAGAAAAUAAUGUUUGAGAACUUGUUCCUGCAACUUUUACCUCUCGAUUUUUCUAUUAAGAGAGAGAAAGAGAGAUGGCUGUUUUAAUUAAAAAUUUUAAUGAACGUACGUGUAGGAAAUUCGUACGAGUAUGCACAUGACACACUGCGUUUCCGAGAAAAAAAAAAUAGAUUUUUAGAUUCGUUUAGGUAAAUAGUUAGGAUCGUUCCAGAGAAGUCGACGUAACUUUUGCUCGUUAAACUGUUAAAAGUUCAAUAAUUUAUAUGUCGACACGUUCAUCUCGUUACGAGUAUUGUAAUGUAUUUUAGAAUGAUUUUGCAAAAAAUUCGUUUAGUAAGAAUUAAUUCAUCAAGUAAUUAAUGUACCUUCAAACUAGAAAAUUAUUUUCAAGCGAGUCAGCUUUGUAAGAUCACUUUGUUAAUUGUAUAAAAGGUAUUGUAUUAAUCGAACUUGAUGGUUUUUCUGCGUUCUCUCUGUUUCGAAAUAUGUUUCUUAGCCGCACUAAUUACAAUUCUGUACCGUUUGUACGCGAUUUAACGAGUAAACGACUCUCUUCGAUACUUUUUUCACACUCGUUACGAAAGUGUAAUUAACUUUUCUCGAUGUUAAUUACUUAGAGGUAACAAAAGCGCGAGUCUACGUUUAAUUUCUCAUUUACUCUUUUUUAUAAAACGGUAUAGAACAGCUUUUAAAUAAUAUUCUUUCUUUAUAUUAUCUAGUAAUUACGAUGUAAAAUUUACUAAAAAUUAAUAAUUAAUGUUUAUUGUAUAAACAAUUAACAUAACGUUUAUUAUAAAAUAUAUAUCGAAUAUACGAAAGUAUGAGACGAUUUUGGGUUGUAAUAAUAUCGAUCGUAUAAAUUAAUUCAUUAGAUAGGACAUAAGCGAGUUUGUUUGUCUUCCAAAGUUCCUGACUUUAGUUUGGAAAGAUAAAUUUAUCUUCUUUUCUACCGCAUGUUUAACUAGAAGACGUUUGGCGUCGAUCUUUGCUUAACUUGAAAGGAAAUUUCUCUUAGCUAUGACGAAACUACCAAUAUUCGAACUAACAAUAAGAAGGGGCAUUCAAUGGUUGGAAUUUUACCCCAGGGCGAAUAUAAUUGAUGAACAGAAAUAAUGAAUAGCGAAUUAGUAUUUCGUUGUGUGUCUAGAAUGCUAAAUGAGGUAGAAUAAAAUAUUGUGAAUCUACUAGAAAUCCAGUUAUGUAAAUCAUGCGAAUUUUCCAUUUUUUGUAUCUCUCUCUCUCUCUCUCGCUCUCUCUCGCUCUCUCUCGCUCUCUCUCUCUCUCUCUCUCUUUCUUUUUAGAAAAUUAUAUUUUUCUCUUCUAUUUAUAAAACUUCAGAAAUUGAAUAUUAAAUUAUUUCGAAAUUUUUUCUUCAAUAUUGCGUGUAUGUAUUUCAUUGGAUUCUCUUUGCGCUUUUAGUUCAAUGAUAUUAUUGAUUA